rnacentral:rRNA from 1 species
AACGAACGCUGGCGGCAUGCCUAACACAUGCAAGUCGAACGAGACCUUCGGGUCUAGUGGCGCACGGGUGCGUAACGCGUGGGAACCUGCCCUUAGGUUCGGAAUAACUCCCCGAAAGGGGUGCUAAUACCGGAUAAUGUCUUCGGACCAAAGAUUUAUCGCCUUUGGAUGGGCCCGCGUUGGAUUCGCUAGUUGGUAGGGUAAAAGCCUACCAAGGCGACGAUCCAUAGCUGGUCUGAGAGGAUGAUCAGCCACACUGGGACUGAGACACGGCCCAGACUCCUACGGGAGGCAGCAGUGGGGAAUAUUGGACAAUGGGGGAAAGCCUGAUCCAGCAAUGCCGCGUGAGUGAUGAAGGCCUUAGGGUUGUAAAGCUCUUUUACCCGGGAUGAGAAUGACAGUACCGGGAGAAUAAGCUCCGGCUAACUCCGUG